GCCUCCGUAGCUCAGCGGAUAGAGCAGCCGCCUUCUAAGCGGUUGGUCGCAGGUUCGAGUCCUGCCGGGGGCG
rnacentral:tRNA from 3 species